rnacentral:rRNA from 1 species
GUGCUAAUCGGAAUUACUGGGCGUAAAGCGCACGCAGGCGGUUUGUUAAGUCAGAUGUGAAAUCCCCGGGCUCAACCUGGGAACUGCAUCUGAUACUGGCAAGCUUGAGUCUCGUAGAGGGGGGUAGAAUUCCAGGUGUAGCGGUGAAAUGCGUAGAGAUCUGGAGGAAUACCGGUGGCGAAGGCGGCCCCCUGGACGAAGGCUGACGCUCAGGUGCGAAAGCGUGGGGAGCAAACAGGAUUAGAUACCCUGGUAGUCCACGCCGUAAACGAUGUCGACUUGGAGG